AAUAAUCGUUAACUUGUGUGUGUAAGAAGCAAAGGGUUUGGGGGGGCAGGUGGAGUUUGUGAUCAAGGUACCUUGGCACCAGAUGGAAAGUAACUUCCUGCAGGUGAUCUAACAAGUUACUGGUGAUCCCAUUACAAUAUCUCACUAGCUCACCUCAGGCAAAAACGCCCAGUGGUGGCAGUUUUCGGCCCUAAGCAUUUUCCUGACCCAUUUAUGUAAGUGGAAACUAUUUCCCCACAUACUCUUUCAGUCCCGGAUGGGUUUUUCUUUCAGUGUUUAUUAUCUUAUUUAAUCCCCACAGUCAUCCUUUAAGAGUGCUAUUAUCUCCACCUUGUACAUGAAGAAACUGAGGUUUGGCAGGAUUAUACAACUCCUACAAGGCCUGUCCAUAGCCAGUGAGAAGCCUCGUAGGGGCUUGCUCGUCGGGUCUGGGUGACUCUUUCCUGGGUACCGCGCUGUGUUUCAUAGUCCUGGGAAUGUGCAAGGGAUGCUCACAGAAGGCCCUGGCUUCCUUUUCUGCUCUAUGUUACCGUACCUAGAUGCGUGGGCAUCUUGUAAGAAAACAGAAUAAAUUCAAGAGUCUUCCUCGUGAGUUUUCUGUGGUUCAGAUCAUCACCAUCCCUAGACGAAAUGGAGUGUAAAUACUGAGGUGAAUGGCACCCCAUUCACUUCGAAAGCUUGGAGGUGAUGGGGCCCCUCCCAGACUGGGCAAACCUCAGAAAGUAGCAGGUGCUGAGGCCGUCUUGGGCCCAAAGAAACUUCCGCUGGAGGAGUGAGUCCCGUGCAUGUGGGGUGACUUCCUUCGGGGGACACAUUCGCAAAGGGUCUUUAACCCAGGUAGUGCGCUCACGGAUGCCUCGAACCUGCCUGGUCCCCGCAUUUGGAAGGUGGGGGGGGGGGGGGCUCCUCCCUACACCGUUGAGGGCCAUGGCGAGAGAGAAGGUUGGCGAACGAAAGUAGGUGGGCACACGGGUCGCCCUCGACCCCGAAAGCCUUCUGCUGGGAGUGGGCCACCCGGGAACCCACCGUUUGGAAGGUGAGCCGGGCGCCGCCAGCUGCGCAGGGUCCGCGGCCCGCCCCUCCCUAGGGGCGCGUGCGCGCGCGCGUGUCGCCGUGGUAACGGCGCGGCGGAAAGGCGCGGAAUCCCGGGCGCGCGCUGCCCCGGCUGCUGCUGCGGAAGCUGCUGCGGGCGUCGGGCGGGGGUCCCGGGGCGGGCGUCCCCGUGGGACCGCUGCUGCCCACCCCGCGGACCCGGCUGCGUGGGGCGGGGCGCCGGAGCGGCGGCCGGGCUCGCGUGCGCGGCUGGAGGUUCCUGAGGCCGAAUCUGGUUCCUAGGAAACAUCAAAGGGAGCCUGCACCAGAGGCCUCUCAGGAUGUGCCCGGAAGCCUGCGUCCAUCCACUGUGUGGGACGGAAUGACACCCCCCACGAGUGUGCUGUCUCCGUUGCUGUUUCUGGUGACCGUCGCAGGUAGGAAGCCAGGUAAACCUUUAAUACCUGAAUUUUGGGUGAGGAGCACGGCGCCACAAAUAGUGUAAAAGCCAUACACAGCUGGGAAAGAAUGCUUAGUAAUUUCACGUAGUGAAAUGACACGAGGAGGGCCUGGAAGGUGGGGCCCGCGGCCAGUGUGCUGACGGGAGGAAGCACGCCAACGCUGUCCUUCACCCGACGUGGAAACUACUAGAAUCCUGCGGGGGACCACACGGGCGCUUGCUGUCGCCGGGCCGCCUGUGACCUGGCCUGGUGGGGGGGGGGGGGGGAGGUGCCGCUGCUACCUGGUGAGCUGCCCACCCUCGCUCUGAGAGCUGUGAGCCCCGCAGGGCGGGCCCCGUCGGGUCCCCACUCACCU